CAUUAUUCUCUUACAUUCUUGCUCUUGCUAUUUGCCUUGAAUUAAUUCUACUCACUCUAUCUAUUUAGCUUUGUCAAACAUUUCUCAUAAGUCAUAAGUUAAGCUUAAAAUUUUUAGAAACCCAAUUCACCCCCCCUCUUGGGUUGCAUAGCUGGGCAACAAGUGGUAUCAGAGCUCGGUGCUCUAGCCCUUCUUUGAUCUAAACAAUCAAAGAGCCAAAGAUCAUGGCAACUC
rnacentral:lncRNA from 1 species